GGAGAAGCUCGACAUCCUGCAGUGGGUGAGACAGUUGUGCACAGUGAAGAAUUGUCUCACCUCCUGCAUGGCUUUCCAAUAAACAGAUGAUCUGAGCUUGGAACGAACUCCCCUUUACAAACAUCAACAAAGUGGUUUGGUAUGAAAUAUUUGUAUUCACUUAAAGUGGAAAGACAAUCUGCACACCUGGAGGAGAUAUUUGCAACAUUUACAACUGGCAAAGGUUUAUUACCAAGAAUAUAUAAAGAAGUCUUAUAAAUCAACAAGAAAGAAGAAAAACAA
rnacentral:lncRNA from 1 species